AUGUGUUCGUGGCUCCAAGGACCAACUUGCUUCUUCCGCUUUGAUCUGAAGAUGACGAUCCGGAGGAGGCCCACGACGGUGUCCCGUUUCUUCUCUGGUGCCCAGCUCCAGAACAAUGGAAUCACACUUAUGCAGGAACAACGAAGCUUCGAGAUUGAAAAUACGGUCAGUUCGCUCCAUCCAUAUGCUCCACCAAAUAAUCAUGACCAUGGACAAGAAAGUGUGCACUCGGCAAUCAGGAAUAUAGUCCAGAGCAUGCAGCCACCAGUCAAUCAAGCUAAGAUUAUUCAACUGCGUAAAAAAUGGUAG
rnacentral:rRNA from 1 species